rnacentral:rRNA from 1 species
CAGCAGCCGCGGUAAUACGAAGGGGGCUAGCGUUGUUCGGAUUUACUGGGCGUAAAGCGCACGUAGGCGGAUCGAUCAGUCAGGGGUGAAAUCCCAGAGCUCAACUCUGGAACUGCCUUUGAUACUGUUUGGCUUGAGUUCGGGAGAGGUGAGUGGAAUUCCCAGUGUAGAGGUGAAAUUCGUAGAUAUUGGGAAGAACACCAGUGGCGAAGGCGGCUCACUGGACCGACACUGACGCUGAGGCGCGAAAGCGUGGGGAGCAAACAGGAUUAGAUACCCCCGUAGUCCCUGUCUCUUAUAC